CCUACGGGAGGCAGCAGUGAGGAAUAUUGGUCAAUGGGCGCGAGCCUGAACCAGCCAAGUAGCGUGAAGGAUGACUGCCCUACGGGUUGUAAACUUCUUUUAUAAAGGAAUACAGUGAGGCACGUGUGCCUUUUUGUAUGUACUUUAUGAAUAAGGAUCGGCUAACUCCGUGCCAGCAGCCGCGGUAAUACGGAGGAUCCGAGCGUUAUCAUGAUUUAUUGGGUUUAAAGGGAGCGUAGAUGGGUUGUUAAGUAAGUUGUGAAAGUUUGCGGCUCAACCGUAAAAUUGCAAUGGAUACUGGAAGUCUUGAGUACAGUUGAGGUAGGCGGAAUGCGUGGUGUAGCGGUGAAAUGCUUAGAUAUCACGAAGAACUCCGAUUGCGAAGGCAGCUUACUAAACUGCCACUGACAUUGAUGCUCGAAAGUGUGGGUAUCAAACAGGAUUAGAUACCCCAGUAGUC
rnacentral:rRNA from 1 species